rnacentral:lncRNA from 1 species
GGACGAUCCAGUUCUUCAUCUUUGGUUCAAAUUCCAAAGGAACAUAGGACAGACCUAUGAUUAUCCAGGAUAUCCUAUUUGGUAAGUGUCGUGUGUGAGGAUAAAUGUUGAGUUUCCAAGCGAAUUGUCAAUGCCUAAUUCAUUUAUCAAGCAGUUUAUGUAAUGAAAUUUACACACAAAAAAGAUAUUGUUUGGGGCUUUAUCUGCGGGGACAAC